rnacentral:rRNA from 1 species
CGGAGGGUGCAAGCGUUGUCCGGAUUUAUUGGGUUUAAAGGGUGCGUAGGCGGCUGAUUAAGUCUGGGGUGAAAGCCCGUUGCUCAACAACGGAACUGCCCUGGAAACUGGUUAGCUUGAGUACAGACGAGGGUGGCGGAAUGGAUGCUGUAGCGGUGAAAUGCAUAGAUAGCAUCCAGAACCCCGAUUGCGAAGGCAGCUGCCUAGACUGUAACUGACGCUGAGGCACGAAAGCGUGGGGAGCGAACAGGAUU